rnacentral:lncRNA from 1 species
GUCCGAAUAAUACAAGAACGUUGAAAAAAUGCUGUUUUUUAACAAACAAUAUCUAGUUUUUUCUUGUUGUCCCUGGCCACUAGCAUUAUGUUUUGUUGCAUGUUAUCAGACUUGUAUGGUCACUACUUUUGAAGCCUUUCUGACUGAACAAUACCUAGCUGUUUGUCAUCAAUGCCAUCUAUAUCAUGAAAUGCUUGAAGAAAGUAGUUUUUCUUAAUAUGGUAAAAACCUUAGCAUUGAGCGAGCCAAGGCGAUUUACUUUAUUAAUUGAAUCGACAAAAGGCAUGCAAAUCACAAAAGAACAAAU